GCCAGGUUAUACACUACACAUGAGUAGGACGAUGUUAGUUUCUUCGUAGUGGGAUACAAUACAAGUCAUCUUUGUAAGUUGAGCUUUGAUAAAAAAAAAAAAAAAAUCUUUGCAAGUUGGAGGGUGCUUGUUGAGUUGGCUGGGUUUAUUUUAUUUGUAUGUGAUGUUAAUUUGAAAUCCUUUGGAGGGGAUGCAUUGUGCGACCUCACCUCGGCAUUUUGGUUGUUGAAUUGAAGG
rnacentral:misc_RNA from 1 species